rnacentral:rRNA from 1 species
UACGUAGGGUGCAAGCGUUAAUCGGAAUUACUGGGCGUAAAGCGUGCGCAGGCGGUUCUAUAAGACAGAUGUGAAAUCCCCGGGCUCAACCUGGGAACUGCAUUUGUGACUGUAGAGCUGGAGUACGGCAGAAGGGGGAUGGAAUCCGCGUGUAGCAGUGAAAUGCGUAGAUAUGCGGAGGAACACCGAUGGCGAAGGCAAUCCCCUGGGCCUGUACUGACGCUCAUGCACGAAAGCGUGGGAG